rnacentral:rRNA from 1 species
GACGAACGCUGGCGGCGUGCUUAACACAUGCAAGUCGAGCGGUAAGGCCCUUCGGGGUACACGAGCGGCGAACGGGUGAGUAACACGUGAGCAAUCUGCCCUUCACCCUGGGAUAACCCCCGGAAACGGGAGCUAAUACCGGAUAUGACCACUACACGCAUGUGUUGGUGGUGGAAAGUUCUGGCGGUGGAGGAUGAGCUCGCGGCCUAUCAGCUUGUUGGUGGGGUAAUGGCCCACCAAGGCUUCGACGGGUAGCCGGCCUGAUAGGGUGACCGGCCACACUGGGACUGAGCCACGGCCCAGACUCCUACGGGAGGCAGCAGUGGGGAAUAUUGGACAAUGGGCGAAAGCCUGAUCCAGCAACGCCGCGUGAGGGAUGACGGCCUUCGGGUUGUAAACCUCUUUCAGCGCAGACGAAGCGAGAGUGACGGUAUGCGCAGAAGAAGCACCGGCCAACUACGUGCCAGCCGCCGCUGUAACAC